UUGGGGCACAGGGAGACAUGGGGACACUGAGACACUUGGGGACACUGAGAAACAUGGGGACACUUGAAGACAUGGGUACACUAUGGACACUGGCUGGGAGACAUGGGGACACUGUGUCCCUAGUGUCUCAGUGUCCCCAAGUGUCUCUGUGUCCCCAAGUGCCUGUGUCAUAAUGU
rnacentral:miRNA from 1 species